rnacentral:rRNA from 1 species
GUAGGUGGCAAGCGUUGUCCGGAAUUAUUGGGCGUAAAGCGCGCGCAGGUGGUUCUUUAAGUCUGAUGUGAAAGCCCCCGGCUCAACCGGGGAGGGUCAUUGGAAACUGGGGAACUUGAGUGCAGGAGAGGAAAGCGGAAUUCCACGUGUAGCGGUGAAAUGCGUAGAUAUGUGGAGGAACACCAGUGGCGAAGGUGACUUUCUGGCCUGUAACUGACACUGAGGCGCGAAAGCGUGGGGAGCAAACAGGAUUAGAUACCCUGGUAGUCCACGCCGUAAACGAUGAGUGCUAAGUGUUGGGGGGGGUUUUACCCGCCCCCCCGUCAGUGCUGCAGCUAACGCAUUAAGCACUCCGCCUGGGGAUACGGUCGCAAGACUG